UACGAGGGGGGCGAGCGUUGUUCGGAAUUAUUGGGCGUAAAGGGCGCGUAGGCGGUCGGAUAAGUCUUGUGUGAAAUCUUCGGGCUCAACUCGAAGUCUGCACAGGAAACUAUCUGGCUUGAGUGUGGGAGAGGGAAGUGGAACUCCGGGAGUAGCGGUGAAAUGCGUAGAGACCCGGAGGAACACCAGUGGCGAAGGCGGCUCCCUGGUCUGCGACUGACGCUGUGGCGCGAAAGCUAGGGGAGCAAACGGG
rnacentral:rRNA from 1 species